rnacentral:lncRNA from 1 species
AACCAAUCAACAAAUAACUAAUAAGCUAAGUUUAGCUUUUUUUUUCUUUUCCGAUACUUAAUAAGAGAGCUCAAAUACAAGAGGAGUACUCUUAGCUGAACAAUUAUGCCAGUCCAAAGAAAGUUCAGAAAUUGAGUAACACAUACACCAAGCUUCCAAGAGAACACAAACUAACACAAGUAGUACUAGUUUCUGCAGCAGCAUCUAUUCGUCCCUCCCCAUUACACAGCAUACCCCAAAUCUCUUCAAUAUAGUUCCCUUUCUUUUUUAUCCAACAAUCCCUCUAAGCUUGCGUUUUAAUUAAUACCUCGAUUUUCGCUUGCCAGAAGCGAAUGCAGUUCACAUUCUUCUUAAUUACCGCCUGCAGAAUCAAUACUCGUUACCUAUCAUUAACCUCAAACAUUGUUCAUACCCAACAACUAAUAUCCUUUGGCAUUGUCAUCUUCCUCUUAUUAACCCCUUCCCGGCUCCCGCCCCUCCACUCUUUGUAAUACCUUCUCUAGUUUUCACCUUUUCGCUAUUCAGAAUCUUCUCCACCGUUUUCUCUUCAAUUCCCCACAAUCAGUCCUACUCUGUUACACACAAUUCUUCUCCGCUCCUUCCCCAUUCAACACAGUCUCCUAUCCUAGUCAUUACACCCAACACAAAACAUUCACACACUACCAUGAUACUAUGGGCUC